rnacentral:lncRNA from 1 species
GGAGCCUGAAGAGCGUGCAGGAAAGCCACACUGUCCCAGAGCUUUAGGACACAUUCUGUUUUCCUUCAGUACUUUCUUACACACAAUAGCUUUUCCAUUCUAAGUUCACAAAGCUGGUGUUUUCCAACGGCGGCACAUGAUCUCCUGGUCUGAUUCUCCCUGAAAGCAGAGCCCGAGAAGAGGACUUGCAUGCAGGCAAGAAUCCUCUGUUGCCGCCUUUAUAAUUGGGAUGGUUGCAAAUGUCAUAAUUAGUUGACCUUGCCAGGAAGUAAACUUCUUUUUGACUCAGUUUCAUAAGUAUGGGGACCAGUACAGUCCUCCCUCCCACUCUCGUCGGCUUCCCGGACAGCUGGGGUGGACGCUAAGAAGCUGCCGUGUGUCUUCUUGCUGGGUGUCCUGGGCCAUCGCCUCAGCAGGGCUGAGCCCCUGUGACCUCUCAGAUCUCUUCCCCUGCCAUCCAUCAGCCGUUUCAGACUAGACUCACUUCGCCUGCUACCAGACACCCUCGCUACUUUCCUUCCCUGGAUGGGGAGUAACGAUUCUUCUGGAAAGAGAGGCUUGGGGCCUGCCAACUUAGGGCAACUCACUUCUCAAGAGCUGAUCAGCUGGGGCUCUAUAAUCAGACUCUGGUUGUCUAAACUCCUUAAGUAACCUUCCGAAGAAGCCGCUUCCUUGUUAAGCAGCCACAUCCACCUGCUCAGCAGUGACUUGCUUCCCACUUAGGAGUAAACGGGAUUCUCUGAGAAUUCUUGUGCGUGUGUG